UCCUACGGGAGGCAGCAGUGGGGAAUAUUGCGCAAUGGGCGAAAGCCUGACGCAGCGACGCCGCGUGAGGGAUGAAGGCCUUCGGGUUGUAAACCUCUUUCAGCAGGGACGAAGCGAAAGUGACGGUACCUGCAGAAGAAGCACCGGCCAACUACGUGCCAGCAGCCGCGGUAAUACGUAGGGUGCAAGCGUUGUCCGGAAUUAUUGGGCGUAAAGAGCUCGUAGGCGGUUUGUCGCGUCGGCUGUGAAAACUCGGGGCUCAACCCCGAGCCUGCAGUCGAUACGGGCAGACUAGAGUGCUGUAGGGGAGACUGGAAUUCCUGGUGUAGCGGUGAAAUGCGCAGAUAUCAGGAGGAACACCGGUGGCGAAGGCGGGUCUCUGGGCAGUAACUGACGCUGAGGAGCGAAAGCGUGGGGAGCGAACAGGAUUAGAUACCCUGGUAGUCCACGCCGUAAACGGUGGGUGCUAGGUGUAGGGGGUAUUCCACGCCCUCUGUGCCGCAGCUAACGCAUUAAGCACCCCGCCUGGGGAGUACGGCCGCAAGGCUAAAACUCAAAGGAAUUGACGGGGGCCCGCACAAGCAGCGGAGCAUGUGGCUUAAUUCGACGCUACGCGAAGAACCUUACCAAGGCUUGACAUGCAGGGAAAUCUCCCAGAGAUGGGAGGUCCGCAAGGGUCCUGCACAGGUGGUGCAUGGUUGUCGUCAGCUCGUGUCGUGAGAUGUUGGGUUAAGUCCCGCAACGAGCGCAACCCUCGUUCUAUGUUGCCAGCGCGUUAUGGCGGGGACUCAUAGGAGACUGCCGGGGUCAACUCGGAGGAAGGUGGGGACGACGUCAAAUCAUCAUGCCCCUUAUGUCUUGGGCUGCACACAUGCUACAAUGGCCGGUACAAAGGGCUGCUAAACCGCGAGGUGGAGCGAAUCCCAAAAAGCCGGUCUCAGUUCGGAUUGGGGUCUGCAACUCGACCCCAUGAAGUCGGAGUUGCUAGUAAUCGCAGAUCAGCAA
rnacentral:rRNA from 1 species